CUACUGUCCACUAGGAUUUCAGCAGAUACUCUAUAAGGGCAUGGCUGGGUUUGUUAAAGUCCGGAGAAAGAACUUUCAAGAACCAGCAAAGAAAAUAUGUCAAAACUCCAAAUUCUAAAGAGCUAGCCCAUCUGGGCAGAGCAACAAGAUUACAAUCAAGAAUGAUGCAGAGAAGGGCAACCAUCAUGGUGCGAUGAUCUGCUAAGCCUGAAAAUGAAGAUUUAUGCUGGAAAGCCUGGCGGACCCUAAAAUGCAGCAUUGCAAGUCGUGGGAAUGUAAUAAUGUGAUAAAGAAGCAAAUGGCCAUGAAGCCUUCCAGUCUAAGCACCUGAGAGAAAUCCAGAGCCAAGCAUUUCCUCC